rnacentral:rRNA from 1 species
AACGAACGCUGGCGGCAUGCCUAACACAUGCAAGUCGAACGAGACCUUCGGGUCUAGUGGCGCACGGGUGCGUAACGCGUGGGAACCUGCCCUUAGGUUCGGAAUAACUCCCCGAAAGGGGUGCUAAUACCGGAUAAUGUCUUCGGACCAAAGAUUUAUCGCCUUUGGAUGGGCCCGCGUUGGAUUAGCUAGUUGGUAGGGUAAAAGCCUACCAAGGCGACGAUCCAUAGCUGGUCUGAGAGGAUGAUCAGCCACACUGGGACUGAGACACGGCCCAGACUCCUACGGGAGGCAGCAGUGGGGAAUAUUGGACAGUGGGGGAAAGCCUGAUCCAGCUAUGCCGGGUGAGUGAUGAAGGCCGUAGGGUUGUAAAGCUCUUUUACCCGGGAUGAUAAUGACAGUACCGGGAGAAUAAGCUCCGGCUAACUCCGUG